GUGAGUCAUCGAAUCUUUGAACGCACAUUGCGCCCCUUGGUAUUCCAUGGGGCAUGCCUGUUCGAGCGUCAUCUACACCCUCAAGCUCUGCUUGGUGUUGGGCGUCUGUCCCGCCUCCGUGCGCGGACUCGCCCCAAAUGCAUUGGCAGCGUCCCUUGCCCCCUCUCGCGCAGCACAUUGCGCUUCUCGAGGGCGGCUCCGGGGCGCGACCCACCGAAGAUGACCACCGUCUUUGACCUCGGAUCAGGUAGGGAUACCCGCUGAACUUAAGCAUAUCAAUAAGCGGAGGA
rnacentral:misc_RNA from 1 species